AUAUCAACUAGCCAAAUUCCCCAAAUGUCAGUUUCUAAUCAAUUAAAAAAACUCGUUAUAUGCCGUGUGAAAGUGUGACACUCAUUCUCAAAUCGACAGAUGCAAAAAUCAGUGAAGGUUCUUUUCUUGCUCAUAAGGCACUACUUUGGUUUUUCUAAUCUCAAAGAUAGGAAUUAAUAUUGACAAUGGCAUAGAAGUGUAUUUGGGACAUUAUUACAACAGCUCUAAGUGUUAAGCAAAUUAAAGGACUAAGAUAGCAAAUAUGUGUACGUAAGUGUUAGGAUUCGUCCGCAUUGGGACUUAUCUAAAAUAUUUCUAAUUCAUAUGGGAUAAGAAAUAAAUAGUUAUAAUUAUCUGUUAUAUUCCUAGUCCACUUGGGAUAAGGAAUAAAUCUAACAGAUAAAUCCUAAUCUGUUUAAAUCUCUAUCUAUGUGGGAUUUAGUUAGAAUACGAUUAGAAUUAAUGUCUCCCUUAUGGCCUAUAAAUACAUGAUGUAUUGACCACAUACUAUAUACGAAAAAAAUUAGAAUCAUCUCUCCACAAAAUUCUCUUUUGGGUUCGCUCUAGGGCACCAUCAUAAACCCUAGGGAUUUGGGCGGUGUGCAGCGAUCGACUCUAGUAGCCGGAUUGCAACGAGUAAGAACAACGCGCAACAAAUUGAGACAGGAUGUUGGCGGAUCAACGAGUUCGUAAAAUAAGACGAGAUUUGAUCCUGGUAAUCUUAAUACAUUCCGCAAGAAAGAGGUAUGUAAAAAUCUAUGUGAUUUUUGCGAACUAUUUAUUUCGAUAUUUAAUUAUUUUAUCCAACAGUAAGAAAUAAGCAAACUGGUUCAAGAUGUGUUUAAGGAGCAAAUAACAGAACAUGGAAUACUUACAAAUGUGUAAUUUUUCUUCAUUUUUACACUAGAACACAAGCAUGUGACACCCCAAUAAUCCCACAUCAGAUGGGAAUGGGAUUGUCAUUGGGUUUAUAAGAGACUUAGACACUAGUAAUAAUAACUGGGCUUAAGCAUUUUGGGCCGGUAGUUUGGGCCCAACGAGUUAUUGUUGCUAGUGGGUUGGGUCGUUAUAUUUGGUAUCAGAGCCGGUUCACCAGCUGGACAUGUGUGGUGAGUCUCGGCUGAGCCAGGGUUUGGAUGAUGGGCUAGUGAGACGAGUCUCACAUCGCCGGUGAUCUUGGGCUGUGUGUGUGAUUGGACUGACGAGGACGUCAGGGCCUUUAACGGGGGGAGUCUGUGACACCCAAAUAAUCCCACAUCGGAUGGGAAUGGGGUUGUCAUUGGGUUUAUAAGAGACUUAGACACUAGUAAUAAUAACUGGGCUUAAGCAUUUUAGGCCGGUGGUUUGGGCCCAACGAGGUAUUGUUGCUAGUGGGUUGGGUCAUUACAAAGCAUGACCAAUAUGAGAAAUGAAAAAUAGAAGUUCUAGUUAAUGUAAGUUAUAUCGAACUGUCAAAUAUAUAAGGUAUAGUACAAAAGCAAGAAAAGGAAAGGGAUUGGAUUUGAUGCAGUGGAAAAAAAACUUAAUUAGCACAGAUAUACAAGGAUAGAAAUGAACAACAGGGUUACAAGGAAAGAUGUGGCUUACUUUUGAGGCAUCAAGAACCAUCAGCACAAUGUCUUAUGACUUUGAAACAGCAAUAACCUGAAAGGGAGAGCUAUGAUCAGAUUGCAACACAAAGGAUGAAAUUAAAAUUAAGGCAAAUUCUAGGGACGAAACUAAAAUAGGGGUCAAACUUCAAGGACUAGCUUAGACUCUUGGGAUUGUACAGAAAAAGG
rnacentral:lncRNA from 1 species